AUACGGAGGGUCCAAGCGUUAUCCGGAAUCAUUGGGUUUAAAGGGUGCGCAGGCGGUUUAUUAAGUCAGUGGUGAAAUCUCGGGGCUCAACCUCGAAACUGCCAUUGAUACUGAUAAACUUGAGUUCAGUUGGAGUAGGCGGAAUGUGUAGUGUAGCGGUGAAAUGCUUAGAUAUUACACAGAACACCGAUAGCGAAGGCAGCUUACUAAACUGAUACUGACGCUGAGGCACGAAAGCGUGGGGAGCGAACAGGAUUAGAAACCCCAGUAGUCC
rnacentral:rRNA from 1 species